GGAAGUGACUCAGGACAGGCUCCGGGGUCCCCGUCAGGGGCCAGCGAACCAGGAAGCACCAGUCUGCGGAACCCCAGGAAGGAUGGAGGGCUUGCCUGGGCCUGACUCACCGGUGUGGUAUUUGCUCCUGGCCAGUCUCUGUGGCUUCUGCCGUCAGCAAUGGAAGGAUGCUGAGUCGGCAGUUCUGAGGGAAGAGAAAUGAGUCAACUUGGCACAGUAUUGAUGAGACUUCACGCUUUUCCUCUUCUUCCCCAACGUGGAAGCUUCUCAGGCUCUGCCUUCCCCUCAUUCCUCCCACCUGUUUCCAGUUUUGGGCAUCAGCCACGCUGAUGAUAAUAUACUAAAAACCCACUUUUGAGGUGCCUGGUGUCUCGUCCUCUGUCCAAAUGUCGGUGCCCUUCAGGGUCUGCCUGUAGGACUCCAGAACUGCUAAACGCUGUGCCCUGGGUUUUACCUCCAGCAGCCACUUCUAUACAGUCUUGUCCACCUUCCUCUGCAGUCCCCCCAAAAAGCAUUUCUAAACCCAUCCUCACAGUUCCCCAUCUUCCUUUACUUUUCCCAAAGCUUCACAAGACCUUUGUCCCUUCUUUGCCAGUUCGGUUUCUCUGGAACUCAGUCUAUGCCUCUAAUCUCAGGGUUCCCAAAAGGUCUACAGAAGUGAAAUUACAUACACUCAAAAUUUACACAUUGAUAAAACUGGUGGGUGGGGUAGGAGUUACUGACCUCUACAAGUUUUAUGUACACAUAUAUGUUAUUUAUCAUAUAUGUCAAGUUGUACAUAUACAAGUGAUUGAAUGCAUUCAAUUUCUUUGAUAAACUGCUCUGUAGAAUCUUUA